AGAGUAGAUUAUCUCCUUCUUUUGCACUGAAGGUGCGCCUAAUUAGGCCUACUUUA
rnacentral:tRNA from 1 species